GGCGGCGCCAGGCGGGUGCGGAUGGUGCCGAAGGCGUCGUAGGCGUAGAGCAGCGCCAGCCCCAGGGCCAGGCUCUGAGGGGUCAAAGGUCACAGGUCACUGCGGGGUCACCGCUGGGUCACGGAGGGGUCAUGGGGUCACAGUGAGGUCACGGUGGGGUCACGGUGGGGUCAUGGGGUCACGCUGGGGCCAAGGGGUCACGGCGGAGUCAUGGCGGGGUCAUGGGGUCACGGUGAGGUCAUGGGGUCACUGUGAGGUCAUGGCGGGGUCAUGGGGUCACAGUGAGGUCAUGGUGGGGUCAGGGGGGUCACGGUGAGGUCAUGGUGGGGUCAUGGGGUCACGCUGAGGUCAUGGUGGGGUCAUGUUGAGGUCAUGGGGUCACUGUGAGGUCACGCUGGGGUCACGGUGGGGUCAUGGGGUCACGCUGGGGCAAAGGGGUCACAGCGGGGUCGUGGGGUCACGGCAAGGUCAUGGUGGGGUCAUGGGGUCACGGUGAGGUCAUGGUGGGGUCAUGGGGUCACAGUGAGGUCAUGGGGGUCACAGUGGGGUUACAUUGAGGUCAGGGGGGUCACAGUGAGGUCACGGUGGGGUCAUGUUGAGGUCAUGGGGUCACGGUGAGGUCAUGGGGGUCACUGUGAGGUCACGGUGGGGUCAUGGGGUGACAGUGGGGUCACGGAGGGGUCACAGUGAGGUCAUGGGGUCACCACGGGUCACCCUGGGGUCACGGGGGUGUCACAGCGGGGUCGAGGGUCACGGUGGGGUCACGCGGGGUCACAUUGAGGUGAAGGGGUCACAAUGAGGUCACGGUGGGGUCGGGGGGGGGUGACGGAGGGUGCGGGGUUACUGGGGGUCAAGGGUGGCGGCGGGGUCAGAGGUCGGAGGUCAGAGGUGACUCACGAAGGUGACGGCGGCCAUGACGCUGCGCGACGCCACGAUGGCCAUCAGCGCCACCACGGCGGCCACCACCGCUCCGCUGCACGAACGCAGCGCCUCCUGCUGGGCAACGGCGGUACUGCAGCACCGCGCCGGGGGGGAAGGGGG
rnacentral:lncRNA from 1 species